UACGGGGGGAGCAAGCGUUGUUCGGAUUUACUGGGCGUAAAGGGCGCGUAGGCGGCCACCGCAAGUCGACUGUGAAAUCUCCGGGCUUAACCCGGAAAGGUCAGCCGAUACUGCGGGGCUAGAGUGCAGAAGGGGCAACUGGAAUUCUCGAUGUAGCGGUGAAAUGCGUAGAUAUCGAGAGGAACACCUGCGGCGAAGGCGGGUUGCUGGGCUGACACUGACGCUGAGGCGCGAAAGCCAGGGGAGCAAACGGG
rnacentral:rRNA from 1 species